rnacentral:rRNA from 1 species
UGGAUCAGGAUGAACGCUAGCGACAGGCCGUAACACAUGCAAGUCAGGGGCAGCACAAGGAGCAAUCGUGAGGUGGCGACCGGCGCACGGGUGAGUAACACGUAUGCAACCUGCCUGUAAGCGGGGAAUAACCCGUUGAAAGACGGACUAAUACCGCAUAAUACUAAAUUACUGCAUGGUAAUUUAUUUAAACAUUUAUGGCUUACAGAUGGGCAUGCGCAUGAUUAGCUAGUUGGAGAGGUAACGGCUCCCCAAGGCAACGAUCAUUAGGGGUUCUGAGAGGAAGGUCCCCCCACACUGGUACUGAGACACGGUCCAGACUCCUACGGGAGGCAGCAGUGAGGAAUAUUGGACAAUGGAUGGAAAUCUGAUCCAGCCAUGCCGCGUGCAGGGAAAGACGGCCCUAUGGGUUGUAAACUGCUUUUGUAUGGGAGCAAUAAGGGCUACGUGUAGUCCGAUGAGAGUACCAUACGAAUAAGCACCGGCUAACUCCGUGCCAGCCGCAGC